GACCGGUCCAUAGGGGGUCACCCGAACUUCAGUAAUGAACCUGGACCCUCAGACACAAAAGAGAAGAAGAGGAGUCCUGCUUCUGUGGACGAGCUGAUGUCCAGAUCCACAACAAGACCUGGACCUCAGACAGCCAGUCAGACCAGAACAAGACCUGGACCUCAGACAGCCAGUCAGACCAGCACUGUACAAACAGAUAGAGGUCUGCAGGAGGUUGUAGAUGAACAUAAGAUCAGUCUGAGGA